AUAGCUUCUAAGCGAUUGAUCUUUUAGCUAGGAUUAAGUGUAGUAUUUGUUCUUAUCAGUAUUCUACUACCUGAUAAAUCCUCUGUCUGAGGACAAUAUAGUAAAUGGAUUUUUGGAGCUGGGAGGUGAAAUAGGAGCUUGCUCUGUCCACUCCAGGCAUCAGCCUGCUAUUGCAGUACCUCCAGGAAUGGUGCACCCCUC
rnacentral:snRNA from 1 species